rnacentral:rRNA from 1 species
CUGGGGCCAAGUCUUAUAGGGCGUUGUGGCCAAGCCUGCAUGCUUGCGAAGUGCGUUGUGCUGCGGAGCGGCAGACGGCUCAGUAAUACUGCGAUGAUUUGUUCGGGGAGGCCGUGUAGCCGCGGGAAACUGUGGGUAGGCGGCUGGGCUGCACUGGGUUGCUGGGGCGGUGUCUGAGUAAGUUGCAGCCCUAUUAGCUGGUAGCUAGGGUAAUGGCCUAGCUAGGCGAUGAUGGGAGACGGGGAAUUUGGGUUUGGUUCCGGAGAGGGAGCCUGAGAGAUGGCUACUACGUCCAAGGAUGGCAGCAGGCGCGGAACUUGCCGAAUCCUUUUGGGAGGCAGUUAGCAAGCGUUGGGUUUGUUUGGAAUUGCAAAGAGAUUCCUUGAGAUUGGAGGGCAAGUCGGGUGCCAGCAGCCGCGGUAAUACCUGCUCCAAGAGUGUCUAUGGUGGAUGCUGCAGUUAAAAGGUUCGUAGUUGUGUUGCUUGCGCAUGUUUUGUGUGCCUGUGUGUGUGGCGGGCUGUGGAUGUGUGCGGCGAUGUGCGCAACAGACGGGGGGCACUGGAUAGUUGGGCGAGAGGUGAAAUGCGACGACCCUGACUGGACAGACGGAGGCGAAGGCGGUGCUCUUGGAUGGAUGUGAGGAUCAAGAACGAAGGCUGGAGGAUCGAAAUCGAUUAGAUACCGUUUUAGUUCCAGCAGUAAACGAUGCCGACUGGAUGGUGUGUGUUGCACUGUGCGCGAGAAAUCUGUGAGUGUGUGGGCUCUGGGGAUAGUAUGAUCGCAAGAGGGAAACUUAAAGAGAUUGACGGAAGGACACCACCAGGAGUGGAGUGUGCGGCUUAAUUUGACUCAACGCGGGACAACUUACCAAUGCCGAGAUGUGUUUGAGAGCGGAACGCGAGACGCGUGGCGGUGGUGCAUGGCCGUUUGAAAUGGAUGGCGUGAGCUGAGGAUUAAUUUCCGGAAGAUGUGAGACCCUUUGACUGCGUUUGUGGAGAGCGAGGAGGGGAGGGAACACAACAGGUCCGUUAUGCCCUGAGAUGUGUUGGGCUGCACGCGCACUACGAUAUUCUGCGGUUGCGGAGAUGUGCGGGAUUGAUGCUUGUGAAUGUGUCAUGAACGUGGAAUUCCUAGUAAGGGCUGUUCUUAGGCUUGAAGGUGCAGAAAGGCUGAACUGAGGA